GGCUCCUAGCGGCGAACGGUCGCGUAACACGUAAGCAACCUGCCCCGAAGACCGGGACAACAGCCCGAAAGGGCUGCUAAUACCGGAUGUGGCCGCCGGGGGGCAUCCCCUGGCGAUUAAACCGAGCAAUCGGCUUCGGGAGGGGCUUGCGGCCUAUCAGCUAGUUGGUGGGGUGACGGCCUACCAAGGCGACGACGGGUAGCUGGUCUGAGAGGACGGCCAGCCGGACUGGGACUGAGAUACGGCCCAGACUCCUACGGGGGGCAGCAAUUAGGAAUCUUGCGCAAUGGGCGAAAGCCUGACGCAGCGACGCCGCGUGGGGGAGGAAGUCCUUCGGGAUGUAAACCCCUUUUUCCGGGGAAGAAAUCAAUGACGGUACCCGGUGAAUAAGCCCCGGCUAACUACGUGCCAGCAGCCGCGGUAAUACGUAGGGGGCGAGCGUUG
rnacentral:rRNA from 1 species